AGCGAACAGACGAGGAGCUUACUCCUCUGACGUUAGCGGCGGACGGGUGAGUAACACGUGGAUAACCUACCUAUAAGAUUGGGAUAACUUCGGGAAACCGGAGCUAAUACCGGAUAAUAUAUUGAACCGCAUGGUUCAAUAGUGAAAGACGGUUUUGCUGUCACUUAUAGAUGGAUCCGCGCCGCAUUAGCUAGUUGGUAAGGUAACAGCUUACCAAGGCAACGAUGCGUAGCCGACCUGAGAGGGUGAUCGGCCACACUGGAACUGAGACACGGUCCAGACUCCUACGGGAGGCAGCAGUAGGGAAUCUUCCGCAAUGGGCGAAAGCCUGACGGAGCAACGCCGCGUGAGUGAUGAAGGUCUUCGGAUCGUAAAACUCUGUUAUUAGGGAAGAACAAAUGUGUAAGUAACUAUGCACGUCUUGACGGUACCUAAUCAGAAAGCCACGGCUAACUACGUGCCAGCAGCCGCGGUAAUACGUAGGUGGCAAGCGUUAUCCGGAAUUAUUGGGCGUAAAGCGCGCGUAGGCGGUUUUUUAAGUCUGAUGUGAAAGCCCACGGCUCAACCGUGGAGGGUCAUUGGAAACUGGAAAACUUGAGUGCAGAAGAGGAAAGUGGAAUUCCAUGUGUAGCGGUGAAAUGCGCAGAGAUAUGGAGGAACACCAGUGGCGAAGGCGACUUUCUGGUCUGUAACUGACGCUGAUGUGCGAAAGCGUGGGGAUCAAACAGGAUUAGAUACCCUGGU
rnacentral:rRNA from 1 species